rnacentral:lncRNA from 1 species
GCCAAUCAGCGCCAAUGUCCUUCCGAUAUCUUUCCUCCAACUGAGGAAUUUCUUGUAUGUGUAAAUACUUCAAACUGGUUAGGCAAUGCAUCUGGUCCGGAAGAGAUGUUAAAUUGGGCAAAUUAACGAGAAAAAGCCGUUGCAGAUUUGUUAGAUGUUGAAGCCACUCCGGAAGAUGCCGACACUUUGGAAUAUUUUGCAGCUGUAGAAAGCGUAGGCUUGUAUGAUCUUGGAAUAUUUGGAUGCCAGCCCCAGAUAACUCCAGCUCCUUGCAGUCCAUUACUAAAAAGUCUUCAAGGGAAGUGAGAUGUUGGAACACAGGAAGCAGUGACCUCAAUCCAUUGCAGUUAUGAAUUUUUAAUGUUUGCAAUUGAACAAGAUGUUGAAGCCCAAUGGGGAGAGACACCAGCUUUGGAAUAUUAUCAAUCUCCAAAUGAGAGAGAUUCUUAAGGGGUUCCCAUUGCAUGCCCUCUAAAUCAACCUCCUUGCAAUCUCUUAUUGUUAAUCUUUUGAGGCUGGUGAGAUGUUGCAGGCACUCAUCUAGCGUGUGAGUGUCCAACCCCUCAAUGUUGUAUACAUGGAAAGAUUUCAAUUUGGAGAGUGGAAGAGAAGAGGUUGAAGUUGAUGGGGCCUUAGCAUUGAUGUUCAUUUUGAUAGUCUGCUUUAACGGCCUUGAACUGGUAUAGAACAACAUUAGACCUUCAUCGAGUGAUGGAUACAGUGGCAUUAAAAUUAAAGGGCAAUUUUGAAUGUCUAAAGAGGAAAGACUAGGAAAUGCCAUGGUUGAUGUUCCCAUAACUGUUGUGUCGUCCUCGUUGGAAUCAUCAUCGAUUGGUUUUGUCGUCCUCCACCAACUCUUCAUAUUCGGACAGUUCCAGAGCGAAAGAUGCUUCAGUGAUGGGAAGAAUGAUUGUGGUUCUCCUUGACUUCCUUUUGGGCUAUUAUCAUCCAUGUACUCCAGCUUAGUACAAUCAUCUAUAGUCAGCCCUUUAAGACAAGGAAAUUGCGCAAAGGACGGGAUUUGUUUGAAAUUACCACCACUUAUGAAAAUUUUGACGAGAUUUGUGAGCAAAGGAAGCCAACUUGGAAACUUGGCAUCACCCCUCCAUCUUUCAAUACAGAGCUCCUUGAGAUUAGGAUGGGGCUGGAGGUCUUCAAGUGACUUCUCAUCAUCAUCAUCAUCAUCAUCAUCUUCAUCAUCAGAAUCAUAUUUCCAUUGUAAACCCAACCAUCUCAAAUGUUGCUUCUCGUUCAAAUUAGCAGCCUUAAACUUCUCUUUUGCAUUUUUUACGAAUCCCAAAUUUGUUAUUCCUAACCCUCCCCUUAAGUUGUUAAGCAGUCUCAAUUCACUUAGAUCUGCACCGCCAUGGGACCCAUCUUUAUCCACUACAAACAUGCUUAACGUCUCAAGUGAAGUCAGCUUCCCUAUUCCACGUGGCAUAUGAGUUAAACCCCUACAACCUUCACACCCAAGAUGGGUAAGAUUCACCAAUUUUUCAAUCUUCUUUGGCAAUUCUUUAAGCCUAUGACAGCUGUCAAGUUUCAGCGCUAGCAAAUUCAGAAUCUUGCAAAUACUCUCUGGGAGAAUCUUAAUAUUGAAAUUCCAAGAAAGAUCAAGGUACCUCAAAUGUUUCAACUUACAAAUGGAGGGUGAAAUCUUUUGAAUACCUAUAGAAUUCAAUUUCAAUACACGCAAGCAUCUACAAUUUGCAAUUAUCAAAUCCCAAGUUUCAUAGCUGAAAUCUUGACUUAUUUUGUCUUGAAAAUGUAACAAGGUUCGCAACUUCUUUCCCUUAAACAAAGGAAUUAAUGAAGGUUUAAUUGAUAUGUGUCGCCAUUUUUCACCAACAUCACUUGCAAUUUUAUUUGAAUCUACAAUACUACUCUCCAUCCCUGCUACUGAUUCUGCUAGAUCAUGCAUUAAAUCAUGCAUUUUACAUGUUAGCCCUUCCCUUGAAUAUCUUUCUCCUACUUCUUGGAAGAAACUUAUUUCAACUAAAUCUUUAAAAUACCCAAACCCGAUCUCCUCCAGAGAUUGACUUUGAUUCAAUUGCUUUUGAAACCCUGUGCAAUCCAAAAUUGAACAAGCUCUUCUACUUCAAUUCUGUAAUCUUUUGGAUACAAUCGGCAAUAAGCAAAGCAAUGCUUCAAAUGAGACGGUAGAUGAUCAUAACUCAAUUUCAGUAUAGGUAGAAGUUCUCCUUCAAUUUGUGAUAUUUUAGCAAGUUCAUUUUCUUUGAAAGAAUGCCACUCAUUUGCAGUUUUCUUCAAAGAUAAUGUACCAGCUAUCGUCCUUAUGGCUAAGGGAACCCCACCACACCUUUCCGAAAUCUGUUUCCCUACUUCCACAAAGGCUGAAUUUGUUGAGUCUGCAUAUCCUUGUUCAAAUGCUAUCUUUUUGAACAAAGACCAAGCAUCAUCAUCAGACAAGCCUUUCAAUUUCAAAACAUGGGAUUGACAUUUAUUAGUUAUCUCCGCUACCCUUAGAGAUCGAGUAGUUACUAUUAUCCUACUCCCUUUAGCCCCACCCAUCAAUAACUUCUUUAGCCUAGACCACUUUUCUGGGUCCUGAUUCCAAAUGUCAUCCAAAACAAGCAAAUAUUUUUUCCCAUCAAUUUUAUCUCGAAGUUGUUUUUGCAAUUGAUCCAUUUCAAGAUUUUGAUCAGGUGCUUGAUGAGUCACAGAUUUGAUAAUGUUUGCUACAAUAACUUUCACAUCAAAAUCAUCUGAAACACACGCAAACAUCGUUAAGUCGAAAUGAUUUUUGACCAUUUCAUGGUUAUAGACAAGUUGGGCCAAAGCAGUCUUCCCUAACCCUCCAAACCCCACAAUUGGAAUGACAUAAACAUUCUCUUCACUUUGAAACUCCAACACGAGUUUUAGAAGAGCUGCUUUAUCAUCAUCCCUCCCUAUUAUGUCAUCUUCACGCUCAAAAGAGUGCGUUUGCUGCCUCCUUUUAGUCAUGAAAGAGGUUUCCGCGGGGCGAUCACGCGGAAUGAAGCCAAAAGUGUUGGCCUCCCUUUCAAUUGAAGCUAAUCUCGCCUUAAUGGCCUUCAUUUCCCGACCCAUUUUGAGACCAUAAGCAAAUUGGUUUGAGGUUAAGAAGAAAAGGCGUACCUCUUUCGUCAGCUUGUUCCCACCCGAUACAUCUUUCCGCAAAGCUUCAGUAGAGAAAUCAUCCAGCAAGUCGUUGGCAUCAUAAAGUACAUCUUUCAGCUCUUCAAGCCAAACUUUGACGAGAUUGUCGGUCACCGAUUUCUCUUCAGCGUCAAGAAGCACAGCUUUGAUUUGACAGACAGUGCGUCUGAGAUCGUGGAUGUCAUGUUUGAGAUUCCACCACAGCCCAACUUGAGAGAGAGCACGAGAGCUCAACUUAAUAAUGAGCUCUGCGGCAAUGACGGAAGCAAUUGCUUCGGCCAUUGUUGGUUCAAACUGAAAUCAAGGCAAAAAGUGUUUGAUUGGUGAAAGAGGAGAACUAAAAUGAGAAUGAUUCCAACAAGAUGAAGCACAGAUGUGGAUCCAUCCACCCAGCAAGUAGUAUAAUUAAAUAAAAAGUCAUGUUGAUUGGUGGGAAAUGGUCCCUCCAUGUUUACUGUUUGACACAAAUUUCUGUAAUGCUCUGCACAAUGUGGAGCCGUAGAAAUAAUUGAAAUUAAUGAAAAGGCUACGAAAGAAAAGAGAAAAAGGAGACAAAUCCCAUGGAAUCCAAGGUGUUUUGAUUGAAGUCUUUCUAAACCUUCUUCCCACUUACUUUGUGUAAUUGCGCGAGUUUAACUUAAAUUCAAUAUUUUAUUUUUGAGUUUAACUUUGGUUGAAUAUAUAAAAUAAAAAAUUCAAUAAAACUCAUUCACCAUUAGAAUCAAAUUUUAUUAAAUUCGAAUCCGAUUAAAUCAAUAAUUUAAAUAUAACUUAAUGACUACUAAAUCAAAUUUAAAUUUUUUUUUAAUCGAAUUCAAUUAACUUACAAGUGAUUAUCAUGUUCACAUUUCUCACCUACCUACUUAGCUUUGAUUUUGUCUUUUAAAGUAACUUGGUGUCUAUAAUUAUAUAUUACGACAAUAGUUACUGUUCAUUACUAUUUUAGUAUACCCUUAUUAUUAAAUCUUUUUAUAUUAAUGGGUAUGUUAAUUAUAUUUGCUAUUAAUUUUAAUUCUGAUUCAACUGUACAUAUGUAAAAAAAAUGCAUACAUAUAUUUUUUUACAUUGGAUUAAUAUAAUUGCUUGUCUAUGUAAUAUAUCAAAGUAAAAUGUAAGAGGUUGAUUUAGCAUAUCCCAAAACAUUUUGUUAUAGCUUGGAUGGUCAUUCUUGACAAGUUGCGCUAUCACCUGCGAAGCCUAGUAGAGACUCCUAAAAUGAUAAAUUUUUAAUUUAGACAUUUUAUAAUUUAUAAAAUUUUAAAUUAAUAGUGAUAAAAUUAUAAUUUGAUCAUCUAAAAAAAUUAUAAAAAUUUAAUUUAACUCUUUAAAAAUUAUAAAAAUACAUUACUAUAAAAAUAUAUAAUUUAAUUCCGAGUAAAAAAAAUUUUAGCUCGGCUACUAUUGCCAACAAAAGAAAAAUUAAUUUCGUUUUUGAACAUGUGGAAAGAUAUUGGGUUUAUGUCAGCUCCAUGGGAAUGUGUAUUUAAUUGGUAUUGAAGGAAAAAUCAUUACUUAAUACCAUCAUGAAGAUUGCUUCCACUGCUCAUAUCUAUUUUAUUAUUUUAAUACACAUAUAAUUGUUUUAUUGUGAGUUGAAUGAUUUUGGUUUGUUUAUUUAAGAUAUUUUAUUUUUAAAUAUAUUUUUAAUCAUUUAUUUUACAUAUACAUGUAUUUUAACUUAAUAUAUUUAAUACUGUUUUUUUAUAAAAAAAAACCCAAAGGUCACUAUCUCAUUUUAAGUUGCAUCAUAAAUUACAACGUUAUGAAUAUCGAUCGUUAGGAUAAUUCAUCUCAAAAGACAAAUUACUACACUUAGAAAGAGCCCAAUUACAAAGAGAAUCGGCUAAUUUGUUAUAACCACGUUUCACCCAUUUGACCUCGAAAGAAACAAAAGAAUUAAGCAUUUUGUGAGCUCCUUGAUGCAGUGAUCAACGAUCGUUAUGUCCUCCUUGUGAAAACUAAAGCGGUUGACAAUGCUAGCACAAUCUGUUUCAAAAAUGACAUUAUUGGCUUUAAGAAAUUGAGCAAGCCGCCAAAAACCAUCGAUGAGGGCAUCUAAUUCCGCUUUAAUAGUGAUUUUUUAUUCUCAUUUUAUCGAUAUAUUUACAUUUGAAUUCAAAUACAUAUUCUACAAUUAACUUUAAUCUCACUGUUACAAUACUUAACCUCACUAAAUUACUUGUUUAACAUGAUUAUCGUGAAUUUAUAGAAAGAACAAUCACGAAGCAAAUGUAGAUGCACUUAUGUUUAAAGUGUUUAUUAAUUAUUUUGAAAAAUAAAAGUAUAAUAACUUUUUUGGCAUUCCAACUUUAUAAAAGAAUUAUUUUAGCUCUCUAUUUACUUUCAUUUUCUUUUAGUCUUUGAACUUAUAUUUUUUUGUCAAACCAUCCAAAAUGGGUUAAAAAGUAUUUAAUUAUUUUUAUCUACUUAAAAUAAUUUUAAAAAAAUCUAUGAAAAAAACUUUGAAAAUUUGUCAAAUGAUAUUUAAAAGCCGUAAAAUAAAGUUUAUUUUAUUAAAAUAAUUAUAAAAAUUUAUAAUAAAAAAUCGUACUAAACUAAAUUAUAAUGGAUGGAUAAAAAAAUAUAAUCGAAUUAAACUAAUAUCACUUGAUUUUAUUGCACCAAACUGGACAUAAAAGAUUUUCUUAUACUAAAUUAUUAACUUUGCUGAUGUGGCUUCCACAUGGAAGCCAAUGUGUAUGCUACAUUAGCAAUUGAUUAAUUUUUUUAAAAAAAUUUAAAAUAGUUUUUAAUAAUUUUUAUACUUUUUAAAACUUUUAAUAAGUUGUAUACUUUUUUUAAAUUUUUAUAUUUAGAACAUUAGUUAAUUGCUAAUGUGGCAUCCAUGUGUAUGCCAUGCAAGUUUAAGGACUAAAUUGAUUUUUUCAUAAAGUUAGAAGGUUAAAUAAAUCAUUAUGCCAAAAUAUAAUAGAGAAUUUUAAAAAAUGAAAAUAUUUAUAUUUUAUUUUAUAUUUGUUUAGGUUCAGCCUGGUCCAAAAUAUAAACUUAAAGUCUGUUCAAAUUUGUAAACAGUUAACUUAAACUCAUUUUAAAUCCACUCAUACUAUUUUUAAAAAAAUUUAAAUGAAUUUAUAUUAUUUUUAACUUAAUAUUUAAUAUUUUUACAUUUUUAUUAAAAUUUUAUAUAUAGUCAUCUUAAGAUUAUAAUAGUAUUAUAAUUUUUAUUUUUAUUUGUUACAAAUUACAUAACAUAUAAAAUUAACAUAAUAUAAAAUAUUGCAAACUUAAAAAUUGGGUCGGGCCAAACUUAGGCUUUAAAUAUUCAAAUUCAAGCUCGACUCAUUUUUUAAAUGGGACUAUUUUUUGAAUUUAAUAGUUUUACCUAAAUCCUCUAAAAUUUCAAAUGAACCUCUGAGCUUGACAAAGAACAGUAAGUCUCUUUCCCUUUUCUUUCCCUAUUGUUUUGGAGAAACAAUACAGUAAGAUCAGCUGAUGAAGAAUGCAUACAGAUCGACUCUUCAACAAAGAAAAAGAAAGAACAAAUGUGCAUAGAGAGGAGGAUUUAGGGGAGCACAAUGUUGUUCCAAUAGGGUCGGAAGCGUGUAAAUUAUUGUACUAAAAAAUCACACAAAGUUCAAUUCCCAGGGAAGAGAGGUGGAUCACAUGGAUCUCUUAAAUACCAAGUCUUUCCUUAGUCAGAAUAUCCAUUCUAUAGUAAUUUAAUAGCACAAUUAAAUACUACUAUUAUACCCUCAAAUAUUGAAAGAAAAAUAGGACAAGAAAGAACACAAGAGUUUUAACGAGGUUCGGUAAAUUAUACCUACGUCCUCGGGCACUAACACCAGAUGAUAACUUUACUAUCUUCAAAAUAUUACAAACAAAUAGAAUUCCUUAAGAAUUCUCAAAUGGGAGAAGAGAGAAAACUAAGAGAGAAAGAUUGGUUGGGAUUGUUGAAAUGAAAAAUGAAAAGGCCUAUUUAUAGUUGAAGUUCAGGGACUAACUUGCAAAUGGCCUAAAAAAUUAGGGACCAAAAUUGCAAUUAUCCUAUUCAACUUUUCAACAUUCGGUGCAACUUGCUCAACCUUUUUAACAAGUUGCUUCCUACCUUUGUUGACCUUUCAACAAUCUCCACCUUGAAGAUUUGAUUAGGAUAAUCACAUCUUCACACACUUCCUUCAACUCCCCAAAUUCGAUAAAGUUAUCUUUUGUAGUGCCUCUAAAUGCGCUCUCGAGCGCCAUACACCUGUAGGUGCUCAAAUUCUCAGGAUGUUAAUCAAGUUCAAACAAUGAUUAAACUUGAUUGUUGUUACCACUUUGGUCAUCAUAUCUGCGGGAUUAUCUGCUGUCGGAAUCUUCUGAAGUAGAAUUUUUCCUUUUUCAAAGACUUCCCGCACAAAGUGAUAUCUUACGUCGAUAUGCUUGGUUCUUGAAUGAUAGACUUGAUUUUUCGCUAAAUGAAUAGCACUCUGACUGUCACAAUAUAGACUAAUGUGACUUUGAACAACUCCCAAGUCUUUCAAUAAUCCAUUAAGCCAAAUAGCCUCCUUAACAGCUUCUGUAACUGCCAUAUAUUCUGCCUCUGUAGUAGACACAGCUACUGUAGACUGUAAGGUAGACUUCCAACUCACUGGGGCUUUCGCAAGAGUAAACAGAUACCCCGUAGUUGAACGACGUUUAUCUAAAUCACCAGCAAAGUCGGAAUCAACAUAUCCAACUACAAACUGACCAAGUGCUUCAUCCUGUUCAAAAAUUAAACCAACAUCUACGGUUUUUCGAAGAUACCGUAGAAUCCAUUUCACAGCUUGCCAAUGUCCUUUUCCAGGAUCAUGCAUAUACCUGCUCACAACUCCAACAGCUUGUGAAAUGUCAGGCCUCGUACACACCAUCGCAUACAUCAAACUCCCAACUGCAUUAGCAUAUGGGACUUUCGCCAUAUAUUCUCUUUCAUCUUCAGUCUUCGGAGAUAAUUGAGCACUAAGUUUCAAAUGAGAAGCAAGUGGGGUACUUACAUGUUUUGUGUUUUCAUUUACACCAAAACAUUGUAAUACCUUUUUCAGAUAUUACUUCUGAUUUAAACAGAGUUUGCCUCUCGGUCUAUCUCUACUUAUCUCCAUGCCGAGAGUCUUCUUGGCCUCACCUAGAUCUUUCAUCUCGAACUCUUGAUUCAACUGAGCCUUCAGCUUAUCUAUCUCAUUUUGGCUCUUCGAAGCGAUUAACAUAUCAUCAACAUACAAGAGUAGAGAAAUGAAAGAUCCAUCAUGCAGCUUCUGUAAAUAUACACAAUUGUCAUAUUUGCUUCUUGUGUACUUCUGCCUUCUCAUAAAGCUAUCAAAUCGCUUGUACCACUACCUCGGGGAUUGCUUCAAUCCAUAUAGCGAUUUGUUCAGCUUACAAACCCAAUUUCUACCACCAGCAUCUGUGUAUCCUUCGGGCUGAGUCAUAUAGAUCUCCUCUUCUAACUCACCAUGCAAGAAAGCCGUCUUAACAUCAAGUUGAGCUAGCUCCAAAUUCAACUGUGCUACCAAGGCCAACAAAAUUCUAAUGGAGGAAUGCUUCACAACAGGGGAAAAUACAUCAUUGUAGUCAAUUCCCUCCUUCUGAGCGUAGCCUUUAGCUACCAAUCUUGCCUUGUAGCGAAUAUCCUUCUUGCUAGGAGAUCCAUCUUUCUUUGCGAAUACCCACUUGCAUCCGAUUGCCCUUUUACCUUUCGGUAAUUGCGCCAAUUCCCAAGUAUUAUUCUUCAAGAGAGACUGCAUUUCUUCAUCCAUGGCACUUUUCCAUUUAUCACUUUCUAAGCUUUGUAUUGCUUCUUGAUAAGUGAUAGGAAUAUCAUCAACAACGGGAAGGGCGUAGGCCACCAUAUCAGUAAAUCGAGCAGGUUUACGAAUUUCUCUCCAUGGCCUUGCAACUGCAACUGGUUCUGGUGUACUUAGUGGUUCUUGGGUCAGAACCUCUUCAACCUCUAAUUCCUCCAUUGUGGCUGGAGAAUUAGACUUAUUAACUGGGCAAAUCCCCAUCUGCUCAAACUCCACCUGUUUUGGAGUACACUCCACCUGUUGUAGAGUAUUGCUCGUCUGAAUAUCUUUAUCUGCUACCUUUUUCAAUGUGGCAGAUUCAUCAAAGGUAACAUCUCUGCUACAGAUCAUUUUCUUUGUGCUUAAGCACCAAAGACGAAAUCCCUUCACUCCAUAAGUGAUUCCCAUAAAGAGAGCUUUCUUUGCCCUCGGAUCUAACUUUGACUCCUUCACAUGGUAAUAUGCAGUGGAUCCAAACACAUGUAAGGAAUCAUAAUCUGUAGCCGGUUUUCCAGACCAUACCUCCAUAGGAGUUUUUAUUUCUAAUGCAGAUGAUGGCAAACGAUUAACAAGAUGGCCAGCGUAUGUCACAGCCUCAGCCCAAAAUUGCUUGCCCAACCCAGCAUUGGACAACAUACAUCACACUUUCUCAAGCAAUGUUCGAUUCAUACGCUCUGCCAAUCCAUUCUGCUGUGGUGUAUCCCUAACUGUGAAGUGUCGAACAAUACCAUACUCUUGGCACACAUCGAAGAACGGAUCACUUUUAUAUUCCCCUCCAUUGUCCGUCCUAAGCCGCUUGAUUUUCUUGCCAGUCUGGUUUUCGAUCAUAGUUUUCCAUUUAAGAAAAACUUUAAGCACUUCAUCCUUAGUUCUCAUGGUAUACACCCAAACUCUUCUGGAAAAGUCAUCAACAAAAGUAACAAAGUAGUGUUUUCCUCCCAAUAAAGGUGUCUUGGAAGGCCCCCACACAUCUGAGUGAACAUUUUCCAAAAUACCUUUUGUAUUAUGGAUAGCAGUACCGAAUUUCACUCUCUUUUGCUUUCCCAGAACACAAUGCUCGCAAAAUUUUAAUUUGUAAGCCUUUGCACCUUUCAACAAUCCUUGCUUUGCCAGAAUUUGUAAGGAUUUUUCGCUGGCAUGUCCCAACUUCAUAUGCCACAACUGCAUUGAGUCCAAUUCUUUGUUACCGGAAGCUGUAGCGACUGCUCCAAUAACUGUACUACCUUGGUAGUAAUACAAGUUAUUUUUCCUGAUGCCCUUCAAUAUCACAAGUGCGCCAGAUGUCACUUUCAAAAUCCCAUCUCUCAUAGUAACAACUGAACCAUUGGAUUCCAAGGCUCCCAAUGAGAUGAGAUUUUUCUUCAAACUGGGCACGUACCGAACAUCAGUCAGAACUCUGGUUGAUCCAUCUUGAUUCUUUAAUUGGAUUGAACCUAUCCCAACAGUUUUACAGGCAUUGUCAUUGCCCAUAUAAACAACUCCUCCAUUUAGUUCUACUAAAUCAAAGAACCACUCCCGGUUAGGGGACAUAUGAUAGGUACAACCCGAAUCCAAUAUCCACUCAUCUGAAUGGAACGACGAUGAUGAUGCAACCAGUGAUAGUUCAGAGUCACUAGUAUCAUGCUUUGCAACACAAGCAUCUACAACAGCUUUUCCCUUAUUCUUCAGCUUUGGACAAUUUUUCUUCCAGUGGCCUUUCUCAUGACAAAAAGCACAUUCAUCUUUCCUGAGUCUGGACUUUGACUUUGAUCUCCCCUUUUGAGUUUUCUUCCGAGUGUAUGAACGACCUCGGACUACUAAAGCUUCUGUAUCUCUGAUUGAGUUUUUCUGUUUGUCCUUCUUUCUCUGUUCAUAAUUGUAUAAGGCCCCAUGAAGUAGAGUAGUUUCUAGGAACUCAAACUCCUCAGGAAGUGACCCCAACAGCAUCAAAGCCAAAUCUUCAUCUUUGAAUGUCUCAUCCAUAUUCAGCAAAUCAGUGACUAACUGAUUAAAUUUGGUGAUGUGAUCAUUCAUUGUGGUACUUGGGACGUAUGUGAAGUGAAACAGUCUUUUCUUCAAGUGGAGCUUAUUUUGACUGUUUUUCUUCAAAAAUUUUUCUUCAAGUGCCACCCACAACUUAUUUGCAGAAGUCUCCUUUGAAAAAGCAUACCUCUGCUCUCGAGAAAGGCAUGAUCGAAUUGUGCCACAUGCCAACCGAUUGAUCGCCUUCCAAUCUUUCUCCUGUACAUCAUCUGGUUUCUCUUCAUCAAUGGCAAUGUCUAGACCCUGCUGAAAAAGGGCAUCUAGAACCUCACUUUGCCACAUACCAAAAUGGCCUGUGCCAUCAAAGAUCUCCACGGCCAGUCUUGCAUUUGCAAUUGUCGGUCUUGUCCACAUGGACGAUGUUGAAGCUCCUACACCGACCGUUUUCUCCAUAAUCUUUCAAUAUACCUAAGGAAAUCUUUUCUGAUGUGGAAGAUCAGUUUAAACUGCAACCACAGAGCAUACUACGAUUAACCUUCGGCUCUUGAUACCACUUUUUGUUCCAAUAGGGUCGGAAGCGUGUAAAUUAUUGUACUAAAAAAUCACACAAAGUUCAAUUCCCAGGGAAGAGAGGUGGAUCACAUGGAUCUCUUAAAUACCAAGUCUUUCCUUAGUCAGAAUAUCCCUUCUAUAGUAAUUUAAUAGCACAAUUAAAUACUACUAUUAUACCCUCAAAUAUUGAAAGAAAAAUAGGACAAGAAAGAACACAAGAGUUUUAACGAGGUUCGAUAAAUUAUACCUACGUCCUCGGGCACUAACACUAGAUGAUAACUUUACUAUCUUCAAAAUAUUACAAACAAAUAGAAUUCCUUAAGAAUUCUCAAAUGGGAGAAGAGAGAAAACUAAGAGAGAAAGAUUGGUUGGGAUUGUUGAAAUGAAAAAUGAAAAGGCCUAUUUAUAGUUGAAGUUCAGGGACUAACUUGCAAAUGGCCUAAAAAAUUAGGGACCAAAAUUACAAUUAUCCCAUUCAACUUUUCAACAUUCGGUGCAACUUGCUCAACCUUUUUAACAAGUUGCUUCCUACCUUUGUUGACCUUUCAACACACAAUACCAUGGACAGAUCAGCUGAUGAAGAAUGCAUGUCCUGCUUUUUGGCUCUUCCAUUGAACUCAUGCUGAAAAGGAAGCAGCUUAGUUACGAGGUUAUAUUAGAUCAUUUGAAAUUAUGAGAUUACUAUGAUUUUAAAAAUGUAAAGCAAUUAAGUAAUUACCACCUAUUUGCCUGCAUCUAAAUUCUUAAAGUUGUCAAAUGCCUUUCAGAAAAAUACACGCCAAUCGAAUAUGUGGGCAGAUAAACAUAUGAGGGUAGAAAGUAUGGUCUCUGCUUUUUGUAUUGCAUGCUAUGCUCUGCAGAAGAAUAGAGCCAAAAGCUAACAAAAAUAAGGGUAAAAAGAUCAAAAAUUUCAAGAUAAAACAUAAAAUUGUAUAUACAUAUGAUUAAGAUUUAAAAUUGGAAAAUGAACAAAGCAGAGCAUGAAGUAGAAGCAUAUUGAAGGCUGGCAUGCAAGCAUUUUGGAAAAUGUCCAUUGGGUACCAAUAAAGAUUUUUUAGAAUUAAAGUAUUAGAAGCUAUGAAAUUAUUGUAAUCACUGAAUUUUGUCCGGUCUGUAGUUCGUGUUUUGUUUUAUUUUAUUUCAUUUUAUAUAUAUGUUUUUAUUUCAUUUGGGCUACAAUUAGACUCUUAAUAUCACUUACCUCUAUAUAUAAUUUAGUUUUUCACCAAAUGGAUGUUAAAAUUGUAUUUUUAAAUGGUGAAUUAGAUGAGGAAGUGUACAUGGAGUAACCGGAAGGAUUUAUUGUUCCAGGACAAGAGCAUAAGGUAUGUAAGCUUGUUAAAUCUUUAUAUGGGCUUAAACGAGCACCAAAACAAUGGCACCAAAAGUUUGACAAGGUUGUUUUAGCUAAUAGCUAUAAAAUAAAUGAAUCUGAUAAGUGCAUAUAUAGCAAAUUUGAAAAUGGAAAAGGUGUCAUAAUUUGCUUAUAUGUAGAUGACAUGCUCAUUUUUUGCACGGAUUUGGAAUAAAUAGAAAACACAAAGAAAUUCUUGUCAAACAACUUUGCUAUGAAGGAUAUGAGUGUAGCAGAUGUUAUUCUUGGGAUUAAAAUAACCCGAGAUGAAAGCACUAUAGCUUUAUCACAAUCACAUUACAUUGAAAAUGUGCUUAAAAAGUUUGAUCUUUUCAACUGUAUACCAGCAUCUACACCCAUGGAUCCUCAAAUAAAAUUAGUAUCUAAUGCUAGUAGGAAAAUUGAUCAAUUGAAAUAUGCAAGUCUAAUUGGUUGUCUUAUGUACAUAAUGACUUGUACAAGACCAGAUAUUUCAUAUGUUGUUGGAAAAUUGAAUAGGUACACAAGUAAUCCAAGUAGUUUGCAUUGGCAAGCUUUGAAUAGAGUACUUAAGUACUUAAAGAAAACUAUUAACUAUGGAUUGUGUUAUAACAGAUAUCCUCCAGUUUUAGAAGGUUAUUCGGAUGCUAGUUAGAUUACAAGUUUGGAAGAUCAUGCAUUUACUAGUGGAUGGAUCUUCAUUCUUGGUAGAUAAGCCAUUUCUUGGGGUUCCAAGAAACAAACAUGUAUUACUAAUUCCACCAUGGCAGCAGAAUUUAUUGCAUUAGCUGCUGCAUUUAAAGAGGCAGAAUGGUUAAGAAAUUUUCUUUAUGAUGUACCUUUAUGGCCUUAGCCAAUUUCACCUAUUUCUAUCCGUUGUGAUAGUGAGGCUACUCUAGCAAAGGCAUAUAGCCAAGUAUAUAAUGGAAAGUCUAGACACAUUGGAUUAAGACAUAGUUAUGUCCGAUAAUUAAUCUCUGAUGGAGUGAUCACUAUUAAUUAUGUGAGGUCAAGUGAAAAUUUGGCAGAUCCUUUGACAAAAAGUCUUGCUAGAGAUAUAAUAAAAAGGACCUCAAAAGGGAUGGAACUCAAGCCCAUUAAUUAGAGUCACCCAUGAUGGAAACUCAAAUCAAUGCUUGGUAUAACGUCAAGUCUUGAGUUCAAUGAGACAAAGUACAUCAUUAGUAUGUGACUGUUAGCACUAUAAAUAAAUCCAUCCUAAGAUUAAAGUGCUAGGUAUCCGUAAUGAUAAGGAAAGGAUGAAUAAUGUACUCUUAACGGACCCAUAACAGAAAUAUGUUAGAGUGUUAUAAUUACGGGAACACUCUUAAUGGGAUCUACCUAUGUGAGUGGAAGUGCGGCCGCUUCUAGGAGCUCAAGGGUUUGACUCUGACAGCACUCAUGAAAAGAGGACACAGACAUAUGGCCAUAAUAGUGUCUUUAGAUAUUAUGCAUUGGCCGAUGUUGAAAUCAUUGUACGAGAUGUGUUCAGUUAAUCAAAUGGAAUAGUUGGUUCAAAGCUUUGUCUACCGUGCAUUUUUUAUUAACUUUAACAUAUAUUCACUAAGUGAAGGUUCAAUCGUAAGAUAUCUUCAUUUAUGCAAAUUGAUUUCCAAGAAUAUCAAAAUCUAAAAUAUUUUGAAAAUGGGGGGGAGAUUGUUGGAACAUUUUCAAAUAUUUAUAGUGUUUCAAUAACUAUAAAUGAAUGGGUGUAAUUAAUCAAAAGAUUAUAUUAUUUGAUUUUUUGAAAAGGAGUUAUAACUAUUUAAAUAAUAUUAUUUGAAUAGUUAUAAAUGAAUAAUUAUGUGUUUAUUUUUAAGACAUUAUUAUUCAGAAAGACACCUAUUAAUGAAAGAUGUCUCUAUGAAGAGACAUGAAAAUUCCUAUAAAUAGGAAUGGGAUUUCAUUUGGAAAACAUACCAAAAAAUUUCAAAUAUUCUUUCUUUCCUUCAUUCAUUUUCUAAUAUUAUUAGAUUAUUCUAUAAAGUAUUACUGCAGAAAUUCUUUGUAGAAAUUGAGUUUUUGAUAUACAUUGCUUAGUGCGUAGUGGACUAUUCUCGUCAGUGCAAAACGCAAAUAGUCAUUGGCUUCAUUGCAUCCUCGAGGUUAAUUUGCUUGGAACUCAUUUGCACAUCGAAGAUAGGUGGGGGCGAAUAUAACCUUAAAGAUAGUGGCUUAAUACACACCUUGGAGCAUUGUCCUUUUUCUUCUUUUUUUGUUCGAGUUCUGUUCGUGUGUUCGAGAUUUUUCUCACCGGAGUUUUGUACUAACAAUAUUUACAUUGAAUUCAAAUACAUAUUCUACAAUUAACUUUAAUCUCACUGUUACAAUACUUAACCUCACUAAAUUACUUGUUUAACAUGAUUAUCGUGAAUUUAUAGAAAGAAAAAUCACGAAGCAAAUGCAGAUGCACUUAUGUUUAAAGUGUUUUUAAUUGAACUUUUAUUAUUUUGAAAAAUAAAAGUAUAAUAACUUUUUUUGCAUUCCAACUUUAUAAAAGAAUUAUUUUAGCUCUUUAUUUAUUUCCCUUCUCUUUUAGUCUUUGAACUUACAUUUUUUUGUCAAACCAUCCAAAAUGGGUGAAAAAGUUAACGUUUGUUAACUUUGUUGACAUGACAUAUAGGUGGAUUACCACGAGUAUGUCACGUUAGCAAUUAAUUAUUUUUAAAAAAUUAAAAAAUAUUUUCUUAUUAUUUUUUAAUUUUUUUAAUUUUUUUAAUGUUUAAAAUAUUUUUUAAAUGUUUUAAAAUUUUAAAAAAUAAUUAAUUGCUUAUGUGGCAUAUACAUGGAAAUCCGCGUGUAUGUCACAUCAGUAAAAUCAACAGACGUUAAAUUUUCACUCAUUUUGGAGUGAUUUAACAAAAAUUACAAGUUUAAGAACUAAAAGAAACGAAAAAUUAAAUGAUAAGUUGAAAUAACUUUUUCCGUAAACUUGGAGACCAAAAGAAUCAUUAUGGCAAAAAAUAGUUGUUUUUCUUCUCUUUUCUUCUUUUCUUUUUGGUAUCUUUUAGUGCUAAAAUUCAAGAUGGUGUGGAAUAGUUUCUAAUCUUAUUAUUGUUAUAUAUGUUUUCGAUCUCAUUAGAGCUAUAAUCUCAUUGUCUAUAUAAAGAGAGCCUAAAUAUAAUUUGUUCAGCUUCUAUUAAACAUGUUAGUGCUCCUUUGUACGAUCAUUUUCCUCCCGUGAGUAGGGUUGAGUAAAUAAAAUAAAAUAAUUGAAAAUCGAUCCAAAUCAAGGUGUUUAGACGGUUUAUGGAAUACAAAUUAAAAAAUCACAAUUAUCCGAAACCGAACAAAAUUCUAUUCUUUAUUUAACUUAUAAAUAAUUUUUUAUAACAUAAAAAAUCUUUUAUAUUGAAAAAUAGUGAAAAUAAAUAAAUAUAUAUAUAUAUUUUAAAAAUAUUAUAUAAAAUUAUUUGAUUAUUUUUAUUUACUUAAAAAAUUUUAAAAAAUAUCUAUGAAAAUAACUUUGAAAAUUUGUCUAAUGAUAAUUAAAAGCCGUAAAAUAAAGUUUAUUUUAUUAAAAUAAUUAUAAAAAUUUAUAAUAAAAAAUCGAACUAAACUAAAUUAUAAUGGAUGGAUAAAAAAAUGCAAUUGAAUUAAACUAAUAUCACUUAAUUUUAUUGCACCAAACUGCACAUAAAAGAUUUUCUUAAAAAAUUUAACCUGCAAUGACACUGUUUUUCUCACUAAAACCUUCUAGAGCGUGCAAUGUCCUCGCCAAGUAAGUAAAUUCAAUAGAGGUUGGAGGCUAAAGGUUGAUACAUAAAAGAAGGGGAGGGGCACAGUUCUGCUUCAACCAAAACCCCAAAUUUAGCAUCUUGAGUUGUUAAAAUAAGUAAAUUCACCAUACUUUUCCGUUAGAUUUUGGCUCUCUUCUUCAGCAGAAUGUGGCGUACAGUACAAGAAGCAGGGACCAUCCUUUCUACCAUGAUUUGAUUAUCUGCCCACAUAUUCCAACAAAACGAAUAUGGUAAUAAAUGUCAUCAAUUUCCUUCUAAUUUCCAAUUGAUCUGAUAGAAAUGGUGUAAUUCAAGAGUACUUGUAUAAUAUAUAUGCCCAACUGAGUACUAGAUGGAAUCUAUGCUGUUGACGGACUCUUGGAGGCAUGUUCGAGAGAGCUUAAACACAUUUAUAUUUUUCAGUGUUCCAUACAAUAUUCUAAUGAGUGUCGAAUUCAUUAAAAUGAUGUAAAAAAUAAUAUAAGGAGUAGGGUCAAUCCACAGAAAUUGAGAUAUCAACAUUUGUUGUUUGCUUCAACCAAGUUGCACGUCUAGAUUCUUAUCCUGCCCACGAGGUGUGACUGUCUGUGCAAAAAUAAAAAGAAAAAUUCUAAUGUAAUAAAAGUAAAAAUAAUAAAGAUAAAAAUAAGCAAAAAGGAAAUUAAAUUAAAUAAACUAAUAUGAUGGAAUUCAAGCUUUAAGCUCGAUUUUGUUCCAAUUUCAAACCAAUGCACGAUAACAAGUCUUCUCCUUCAACCGAUAAGCCAGUUAUAGUGAUCGAGGAUGCCUCAGACCACUAACCCUUCCAUAUGUAAAUUAAUUACGAGAACGCCCAACAAUUAAUCCUUAUCGAACCAACAACCACAAAACACGCAUCCACGAUUUAGCUCUCUGGUAGCCUUGUGAGCUAAAAGGGUCCAUCUCGAACCAACAACGUCAAUUACGUGAGUCGUUUAGAUCCGAUUGCUAACUUCUUAGUUGGACACGCCAAUGUGUUCUUCGGAAGAUCAAAUACGACAAAUGCUCAAUCCGGUACUUCCAAUUGUACGUCUAUCAACACCGAAUCAACGAGCUAUUUUUAACAUGGUGUGAACACAACUUUGUGAGAUGCCAGUAUCUAUCUCCUAAAUCAGAGAAACAACAAAUACCGAAAUAAAAGUUUUUAAGUAUAAAUUUGGAUCUCACAGCUGUCUACUGGAUUAUUUAUUUAGCUACUAAUGAAAAUAUAUGAAAUAAAAGUAUAAAUAAAAUUUUAAAAAUAUGGAAAUAGGAUUGCGCAUGUAAGAGAGAAGUGAUAAACAAGUAUGAAUAAAAGAGGGGCAAAUUUUCCAAUAAUAAAGAAAAAAAAAUCAUCACCCUUUAAAAAAGAGUGGGCCAAUCUCACUUUUACCCUUUAAAAAAUAUAUACAAUAAUGUUGCAAUUGAUAAUUCUGCCCACCUUGUUCUUCUUUAUUCAUAACAUCAUGUGGUGCUAUUCAAGAAAAAUACAUUGAAAGCUGCAGAAAAUUUAUAAAGAAAGGCCGUCCGUUAAUAAAGUUUUUAAUAUAAAAUUAGUAACUUUUUAUUUAAUUAUUACUUAGUGGGUGGAUGGUGACAUCUUUAAAAUACAAUAUUGACUCUACGGGUAAUGUACGUAUGUAUUAACGCUUGUAUUUUCAUCUUGUUCAAAUCAUUUCACUCUUCCUCCUGCAAUAAUCAAACACUUUUUGCGUGCCAUCAAUGGCUGAAGCAUUGCUUUCGAUAUUGCUGGAGAGCUCAUUACUAAGUUGAUCUCUCGAGCUCCCUCUCAGAUUGGAGUAUGGUGGAAUUUCAAAGAUGACCUCGAUGACUUCAAACAUUGUUGCUGUCAUAUCUGAAUGGGCUGAUCUAUGAAAAUUAAAUUAACUCUAAUACUACUUAAUUGUUAGGAUCAAUCCAAUUAAGCAAUAAGUAAAUAAAAUAGCGGAAUAAAUUGAGAAAUUGAACACAUAAAUUUAACGUGGAAAAAUCCCUUUAAAGAGGAUAAAAACCACGAGCAAAUAUAAUUUUACUAUAAUGGCAAAAGAACGAAGAGCAUAAAAGAUGGAGAUAAAAACUAAACCCCGAAAACCCGAAAACAAAGAACCCUAAAAACAUAAACACAAAAUUCUCUAAAUGUGUUAUGAGUCUUAUUAUUAAUUAUUGGUAUCGUUGAUGUAGCUGAGCGUGUUAAUAUUUGUUGUUAGUGGUAGUAACAUUUUAAUUAUUUUAUUCUACAUUUAUUUGUUUAUUGAAGUGGGUUGAUGAUUUUUAAUUGUUUAUUUUUGGAAAUCUUGUUUCAUUCUUUUGUUCCAUGUCAUGUUGGAAAAAGAGUUCGAAUAAACAUGUUUGGAGUAUUAGGGUUGUAUAAAUCUAAAUUUUAAGAGAUUGUUGGUAAGUCAAGUAAAAAAAUAUUUUUUAGAAAAUUUAGUAUUUAUUAAUAUAAUAUAUAUGUUUAGCAUUUAUUAGCAUAAUAUAUUUGAGAUUGAUUAGAAUUAGAUUUUUUUUAACCUAUAAAUAGAUGUAGUUGAAACUCCUAUCGUAUCAUUUGAAUUCAAACAAUUAAUGCAAUAACCAUAUAAAAUGGCGUUGGUUUGGAUACCCCUUUGAUGUUUUGUCUUCGUUUUGGUGUUUGUUUUGGGGGUUGUGUCUCUUUGGGUUAAUUUUCAAUAUAUGUGUGCUGAUGAUGCAAUGAAUAAAGAAAUCAAAAGUUAUGCAGAAAUUUCAAUUCUGGAUGGUGCUGCAAUUAUAUUUUUAAGAGUAGUAGCAUUUUAUUUGUUAUUAACAUAUAUUUGUUUAUUGGAUACGUGUGUUGAUGAUGCAGUGAAUAAAGAAAUCAAAAGUUGUGCAGAAAUUUCAAUUUUGGAUGGCGCUGUAAUUAUAUUAUUAAGAGUAGUAGGAUUUUAUGUUUCUUUUAGAUGUACAUAUAUUUAUUAGGAAAGGGUUCAAGUUUUUUAUUUGUUUAUUAUUAGGGUUAAAUAUCAAAUUUAUACCCUAGUUUUGGUUCAAUUGUAUAAUUUGAUACAUGAAUUUUGAUUUGGUGCAAUUAUCUACAUGAAACUUGAAUUAUGGUUCAUAUAUAUAUAAAACUUUGAUUUUGAUAUAAUUGUACGCAUUAAAGAAAUGAAUACCUAUAUUUAUUUUCACAUUGGAUUAAUAUAAUUGUAGCGACCUAAAAUUUUUGCGAGUUAGUCGAGGUCGUUACGAAAGGAAAUCUUGGGUUGACGAUUAUUGAAAAUUCGGAAAAGGUCUCAAUUUUACUUAAAAAGAGAUGAGUCGCCACCGGUCCUUUUUCUAAGUGAGAUCAGACACCUACUAAAUUCUCUUUUUAAAAGAAAAUUUAUUUUUAAAAUUCUCUUUAAAAAAAGUCGAUUUUAGGUCUGCGUCAAAAUCCAAAGAAAAUUAGAGUUCGGGAGUCUGUUAUGCACAAAGAAUGUAUUAACACCCUCGUGGCGCCCAAAAUCGGUAUCCCAUUAAAUGCGUGUUGUCUUAAAUUUUAAAAAUACGAAUUCAAUUUAAUAUUUAAUCAUGAUUCGAUUGAAAAAUGAGAAUUUUGAUAAAUUACAUAUUAUUGUAUUGUAUAUAUUUUAGAAUGAAAUACUGAUAAUUUACGAAUAAAAAUAAAGAUUUUAUUUUUAAUGAGAGAAUUUUUUUAAUUUUUUAAUUUUUAGAAGGGCGUUCCGUAUUUAAAAAAAGUCAAUGAUAUCCACCCAACAUAGCAGUGAAAUAAAUGACUUAAUGCUAAAUCGGUUCGUUGCCUUAGGUAUUGAAAUUAUUUAAAUUAAAAAUUGUAAAUGAAAUAUUUCUAAAAGGCUGUUUAAAAAUGCUAAUUUAAUUAAAAUGAAACAAUAUUUAAAUACAUGGACUAAAUAAAUAAAGACAUGCACCUUUGUUGUGAGAUAUCUAGUGAGUUCAAAAAUUCUCUUCUGAAAAUGGUGGCUAUCAUGUAAUUAGUAGUAUAUUAUUUCAAUUUUGGUGAGAAUUGUAUUCUCACUUAAACGCUUAAUGCCAUUUGCUAAAUUUUUUGUGUGGGUGAUCUUUUGAUCUGUUCAUAAACCGAACUUUUCAUGGUGGCUAAGUUUCUUAGGGGAUAAAUUAUUAGUAGCAUUAUUUGUUUCUGCAGUGAAAUUGUGAUGCCUGUAUUUUAAAAUGUGAGGUAUUAUCGUAUUUGAUGAUAUAGUGGAGUUUUGGUAGAUUAAACGGAUCGUUUGCUGAGCUAAGUUGAAAUUGAAUGAAUGCUGGCCUCAUCCAAUGUCCAAAACUUGAUGACUUCAACAUUUUGAUGCCUUAAUUUGAGAAGACUGAGUUAGAGUACUAUAAAACUUUCUCAGAAUGCUGAUGAGGCAAAGAUCUAGUGAUCUAAUAUAAUUGCAAUUCAUAGUAUGGUAGUUUCAAUGCUUUCGUAAGAGAGGAAGAUUAUGUCAUGCUACUCCAUUCUCGGUUUAAAUCAGUGCUCUAUAUGAAGAAAGGUUGAUGGGUGUUAGUUCUUUUGAUGUCUUGUCUUUGAUGGAUGUUUGAAAAAUGAUUCAGUUGAUAUUCAUAAUGUCUAUCACUACAGUUUCCCCCUUAUGUAUAAUAUGUCUGCUAGUUUGUCGGUCUUCGUAUAUUACAUUCCUUUUUCUUAUUGUUUUCAACACGAUAACAAGUGAGUUAGUAGCUAUUUUACUUGAUUUUGUCAUGGCAUUUCAAAGAUGACCUCAAGGACCUCAAAAGCACCAUCUCCACAAUCAAAGCUGUGCUUCUUGAUGCCGAAGAACAAUCCAUGACCAGCAGUCUCAUCAAAGAUUGGCUUGAAAAGUUGAAAGAUGCAUUUUAUGAUGCCGAUAAUUUUUCUACUGAUGCUUUGCGGAAAGAUCUACUGAGCAGGAACAAGCUAAUGAAAGAAGUAUGCCUUUUCUUUUCAAGCUCAAACCAAUUUGUUUAUGGUGCCAAAAUGGGUCAUCAAAUUAAGGCCAGGAUGUUCAACUUGGUAGAGUGUGACCGUCCCAUUAAAACCUCUUUCAUAACUAAGAAGAGACAGCGAACACACUCUUUUGUGAGUAAAGAUGAAAUAAUAGGGAGGGAAGAUGAUAAAGCAGCUUUUCUAGAACACAUAUUAGAGUUCCAAAGUGAAGAGAAUGUUUAUGUGGUUCCGAUUGUGGAGUUUGGAGGGUUAGGGAUGACUACAUUAGCACAGUUUGUCAAUGAAGUGGUCAAUGAUCAUUUUGAGUUGAGGAUAUGUAAAGAUUCCAAACUGGUCAUCUCGGAAGCGAUCUUAAAUUGGGCAAAUCAGAGAGAUAAAGAAAUUGCAACCCAAUCCGGAAGAUACCGACACUUUGGAAUUUUUGCCAGCGAUAGAGAGCGUAGGUUACAAUGCCAUGGACAGAUCACAGCUCCACUUUCUGUAUAGUUUCAAAAAUUACUCGGGGCAGAAGGCAAUGGGAGCCACAGCUCUCCUUACCCCUCCCCCCUUCCAAAUUUGGAAAAUUCUCAUUAAGCCUUCAAUUUUUUUGAAAAUUUUAAUUGAACUCCUCAAUUUUUUUAAAAAUUUUUCCUAAGCCUUUAAUAGUUUUAUAAGUUUUAAUUAGACCCUUUUUUUUGAAAUUCUCAUUAGGUUCUUUAAAAUUUUUGAAAAAUUUAAUUCCACAUUUCGCUACCUUUCUUCUCUGAUAGUUUUAGUUUAUUUGAAUGCUUGGAAUUAGGCUUUCACAUUGUUACAUUGUUGAAAAUUACUUGUAUUUUGAUAAGGAAAACAAUGGGAAAAAUAACAAUUAGAUACUUGGAAUAUUGGCUUGUGCCAUGAUACGCCUUUAUAAGGUGUUAUUCAACUUGUAAUUUGAUGUGUGCCAACAUAAGCAUCAACACACAAGUCAUGUAUAUACAGCCAGGACAUCGACAUCUUUUGGAAGAGUCCUAAUCCAAGCAUCAUAAUUGAACAUAGCCUUGGAAUACCGUCUAAAAACAAUUAUUGUCUCAUAAUCAAUUGUGCAUCCCUGCAUUUGAAUACUGUUUGGAACCCUAAAAAACAAUAAAUGUGUUUUUUCCUGAGUUGGUACAUAUUAUGCAACAAGGAAAAUAAAGAACACAAUCAAUAUAUUUACGCAGUUCGAAACUCGUCCUACGUUUGUGGGGCUUUGCCCCAAGAUGAAUACACUAUGAACUUCAUAGUACAAAGAAAUGAUUUAAGCUCAACCCCUCAAACAUUUGAUGCAAUCUCACUUUUGUACAGUUUAAGUAAAUUCUCUCCCAACUCAUUUUAGCUAUGCAAGUGAAAAUUCACAUUCAACACUCAAAUGGUUUUCCUACUAUGAAUCAAGCUCUUAAUAAGCUCCAUGUAAAGUGGAAUAAUAAAUUUUCAAAUGCAAUAUGUCUGGCAAUUGUCAUGCUUGAACAACGACUCUUCCAAAACCAUCAAUGAACCUGAAAAUUACAAAUGCCAACAUAGAAUAUGUUACAAAUCCCAUUAGUAUCAGCCUUAUAUUUGCACAUAUGUGUGUUUAGUAUAACGCUGUUGAUAUAUAAAUAAUGAAACAUUUUAUCAACUUCAACCUCACCACCAAAUAUUCCGAAGCAUCUUCCUUUUUUUCCUGUUUGGACCUUCAGUAACAAAUUUGGCUGGAAUUCUAAACAGCUAAAAGAGUUCCCUGCAUCAAUGAAUAUUAUGAAUUUGAAUACCUCCAAAAGCCUGUCAAUAUCACAGGUACCAUCUAAGAUAGUAAUCAGUUGGCAUAUAUUAAGAGAAAACAUAAAUAUAUAUAACGAUAUCAUCGGUAAGUGCUUAAAUGAAGAAAGCAGAGCAUAUAGUACAACCAUUUUGAAUGCUUCAUAGGCCUCUCUCUCCACAUCAAUUGUUUUUUAGAAUUAAAUUAUUAGAAGCAAUUGUCAAGUUAUAAUUAUGAUUUAAAAGUAAAAAGGAAAUAGAUAAAUUAGCACCUCUUUUUAUGCAUAUAAAAUGAUUGAAGUUGACUAAUGCCUUUCUGCAAUGCCUUACUGCACAAAUCAGCAAAAAUAUUAUGAAAGAUGAUAAGUAAAAAGUAGGAUUAAAACAAAGGCAUUUUAACAAGGAAAUUAAUAGUAUCCAACUUCAAUGAAAAAUGGCAUCAGACCCCUGACUUGGAGAUUCAAUAUACCACUCCUAUUUUUCUUCAAAAAAAGAUGAGGUCAUCAAAAUAAAUAAAUAACAAAGACAGACCAACCUGAUCCAACCGAAUGUUGGGGAUGUGAGCAAUCUUUUGCCAAUCAGCGCCAAUGUCCUUCCGACAUCUUUCCUCCAACAGAGGAAUUUCUUGUAUUUGUAAAUACUCCAAACAGGUUAGGCAACACAUCUCGUCCGGAAGAGAUGUUAAAUUGGGCAAAUUAACGAGAUAAAGCUGUUCCAGAUUUGUUAGAUGUUGAAGCCGCUCCGGAAGAUGCCGACACUUUGGAAUAUUUUCCAGCCAUAGAAGGCGUAGGCUUGUAUGAUCUUGGAAUAUUUGGAUGCCAGCUCCAGAUAACUCCAGCUCCUUGCAGUCCUUUACUUCAAACAGUUCAAGGAAAGUGAGGUGUUGGAACACAGGAAGCAGUGACCUCAAUCCAUUGCAGUUAUGAAUUCUUAAUGUUUUCAAUUGAACAAGAUGUUGAAGCCAAAUGGGGAGAGACACCAGCUUUGGAAAAUUAUCAAUCUCCAAACAAGAGAGAUUCUUCAGGGGUUCCCAUUGCAUGCCAUCUAAAUCAACCUCCUUGCAAUCUCCUAUUGUUAAUCGUUUGAGGUUGGUGAGAUGUUGCAGGCACUCAUCUAGCGUGUGAGUGUCCAACCCCUCAAUGUUGUAUACAUCGAAAGAUUUCAAUUUGGAGAGUGGAAGAGAAGAGGUUGAAGUUGAUGGGGCCUUAGCAUUGAUGUUCAUCUUGAUAGUCUGCUUUAACGGCCUUGAACUGGUAUUCGACAACAUUAGAUAUUCAUCGAGUGAUGGAUACAGUGGCAUUAAAUUCAAAGGGCAAUUUCUAAU